rnacentral:tRNA from 1 species
GUCUCCGUAGCUUAAGAACUGCUCUG